UGGGGAAUCUUGCGCAAUGGCCUAACGGCUGACGCAGCGACGCCGCGUGAGGGAUGACGCUCUUCGGAGUGUAAACCUCUUUUGCCUGGAACGAACUAUCGGCAUUCGCCGAUUUGACGGUACCGGGUGAAUAAGCACCGGCUAACUCCGUGCCAGCAGCCGCGGUAAUACGGGGGGUGCGAGCGUUGUCCGGAAUCACUGGGCGUAAAGGGCGCGUAGGUGGCGUGAUAAGGGUGUGGUGAAAGCCCGGGGCUCAACCCCGGGUCGGCCAUGCCGACUGUCAGGCUCGAGUGCUGUAGGGGCAGGCGUAAUUCCGGGUGUAGCGGUGGAAUGCGUAGAGAUCCGGAGGAAGACCGGUGGCGAAGGCGGCCUGCUGGGCAGUUACUGACACUGAUGCGCGACAGCGUGGGGAGCAAACAGGAUUAGAUACCCUGGUAGUCCACGCCGUAAACGAUGGGUACUAGGUGCCUGGGGGAGCGACCCCCUGGGUGCCGGCGCUAACGCAGGAAGUACCCCGCCUGGGGAGUACGGCCGCAAGGCUGA
rnacentral:rRNA from 1 species